rnacentral:rRNA from 1 species
UUUGAUCCUGGCUCAGGAUGAACGCUGGCGGUAUGCUUAACACAUGCAAGUUGAACGGGAUGCUUAGGCAUCUAGUGGCGGACGGGUGAGUAACGCGUGAGAAUCUGGCUCCAGGUCGGGGAUAACAGUUGGAAACGACUGCUAAUACCGGAUGUGCCGAGAGGUGAAAGAUUUAUUGCCUGGAGAUGAGCUCGCGUCUGAUUAGCUAGUUGGUGGUGUAAGGGACCACCAAGGCGUCGAUCAGUAGCUGGUCUGAGAGGAUGAUCAGCCACACUGGGACUGAGACACGGCCCAGACUCCUACGGGAGGCAGCAGUGGGGAAUUUUCCGCAAUGGGCGAAAGCCUGACGGAGCAAUACCGCGUGAGGGAGGAAGGCUCUUGGGUCGUAAACCUCUUUUCUCAAGGAAGAAGAAAGUGACGGUACUUGAGGAAUAAGCAUCGGCUAACUCCGUGCCAGCAGCCGCGGUAAUACGGAGGAUGCAAGCGUUAUCCGGAAUGAUUGGGCGUAAAGGGUCUGCAGGUGGAACUGAAAGUCUGCUGUUAAAGAGUUUGGCUUAACCAAAUAAAAGCGGUGGAAACUACAGAACUAGAGUGCGGUAGGGGCAAAAGGAAUUCCUGGUGUAGCGGUGAAAUGCGUAGAUAUCAGGAAGAACACCGGUGGCGAAAGCGUUUUGCUAGACCGUAACUGACACUGAGGGACGAAAGCUAGGGGAGCGAAUGGGAUUAGAUACCCCAGUAGUCCUAGCCGUAAACGAUGGAUACUAGGCGUGGCUUGUAUCGACCCGAGCCGUGCCGGAGCUAACGCGUUAAGUAUCCCGCCUGGGGAGUACGCACGCAAGUGUGAAACUCAAAGGAAUUGACGGGGGCCCGCACAAGCGGUGGAGUAUGUGGUUUAAUUCGAUGCAACGCGAAGAACCUUACCAAGACUUGACAUCCUGCGAAUCCUGGUGAAAGCUGGGAGUGCCUUCGGGAGCGCAGAGACAGGUGGUGCAUGGCUGUCGUCAGCUCGUGUCGUGAGAUGUUGGGUUAAGUCCCGCAACGAGCGCAACCCUCGUUUUUAGUUGCCAGCAUUAAGUUGGGCACUCUAGAGAGACUGCCGGUGACAAACCGGAGGAAGGUGAGGAUGACGUCAAGUCAGCAUGCCCCUUACGUCUUGGGCUACACACGUACUACAAUGCUACGGACAGAGGGCAGCGAGCCAGGGAUGGCAAGCGAAUCCAGAAACCGUAGCUCAGUUCAGAUCGAAGGCUGCAACUCGCCUUCGUGAAGGAGGAAUCGCUAGUAAUUGCAGGUCAGCAUACUGCAGUGAAUUCGUUCCCGGGCCUUGUACACACCGCCCGUCACACCAUGGAAGUUGGUCACGCCCGAAGUCAUUACCCCAACCGAAAGGAGGGGGAUGCCUAAGGUAGGACU